CCGAGUGAGGGCCUCGCGCCCGACCUCCAACCCUUUGUCGUGACCAUCUCUGUUGCCUCGGGGGCGACCCGGCCUCCGCGUCGGCGAGCCCUCGGUGGACCCAUCAAACAAACUCUGCGUCUUUGCGUCUGAGUCAACGGAAAAUUGAAUA
rnacentral:misc_RNA from 1 species